GUUGUGGCUCAGUGGUAGAGUGCUUGCCUAAUACAAGUGAGGCCCUGGGUUCCCUGGGUUCGAUCCUCAGCACCACA
rnacentral:tRNA from 1 species